AGUGAACGCUGGCGGUAGGCCUAACACAUGCAAGUCGAACGGCAGCACAGUAAGAGCUUGCUCUUACGGGUGGCGAGUGGCGGACGGGUGAGGAAUACAUCGGAAUCUACUUUUUCGUGGGGGAUAACGUAGGGAAACUUACGCUAAUACCGCAUACGACCUACGGGUGAAAGCAGGGGAUCUUCGGACCUUGCGCGAUUGAAUGAGCCGAUGUCGGAUUAGCUAGUUGGCGGGGUAAAGGCCCACCAAGGCGACGAUCCGUAGCUGGUCUGAGAGGAUGUUCAGCCACACUGGAACUGAGACACGGUCCAGCCUCCUACGGGAGGCAGCAGUGGGAAUAUUGGACAAUGGGCGCAAGCCUGAUCCAGCCAUACCGCGUGGGUGAAGAAGGCCUUCGGGUUGUAAAGCCCUUUUGUUGGGAAAGAAAAGCAGCAGGUUAAUACCCCGCUGUUCUGACGGUACCCAAAGAAUAAGCACCGGCUAACUUCGUG
rnacentral:rRNA from 1 species